AUACUUAAGGAAGGAGAGACAUCAUUAUCAGGCAGGUGGUUUUCCAGAGUGAGAUUUGUCUCCUUCUCUCCAGGUGUACUGAACUCUGAUUUUCCCAAAUUAAGAAACUUGACAAUGUAAUAUAUGGUAGUGGGAGAGUGUAUUUGCACUCAUG
rnacentral:snRNA from 12 species